AACGAACGCUGGCGGCAUGCCUAACACAUGCAAGUCGAACGAACCCUUCGGGGUUAGUGGCGCACGGGUGCGUAACGCGUGGGAAUCUGCCCUUUGCUUCGGAAUAACAGUUAGAAAUGACUGCUAAUACCGGAUGAUGUCUUCGGACCAAAGAUUUAUCGGCAAAGGAUGAGCCCGCGUAGGAUUAGGUAGUUGGUGGGGUAAAGGCCUACCAAGCCGACGAUCCUUAGCUGGUCUGAGAGGAUGAUCAGCCACACUGGGACUGAGGCACGGCCCAGACUCCUACGGGAGGCAGCAGUGGGGAAUAUUGGACAAGGGACGCAAGUCUGAUCCAGCAAUGCCGCGUGAGUGAUGAAGGCCUUAGGGUUGUAAAGCUCUUUUACCAGGGAUGAUAAUGACAGUACCUGGAGAAUAAGCUCCGGCUAACUCCGUGCCAGCAGCCGCCGUAAAAC
rnacentral:rRNA from 1 species